GCAGUCGAGCGACAGAUAAGGAGCUUGCUCCUUUGACGUUAGCGGCGGACGGGUGAGUAACACGUGGGUAACCUACCUAUAAGACUGGAAUAACUCCGGGAAACCGGGGCUAAUGCCGGAUAACAUAUAGAACCGCAUGGUUCUAUAGUGAAAGAUGGUUUUGCUAUCACUUAUAGAUGGACCCGCGCCGUAUUAGCUAGUUGGUAAGGUAAUGGCUUACCAAGGCGACGAUACGUAGCCGACCUGAGAGGGUGAUCGGCC
rnacentral:rRNA from 1 species